AACAACUCUCAGCAACGGAUAUCUUGGCUCUUGCAACGAUGAAGAACGCAGCGAAAUGCGAUACCUAGUGUGAAUUGCAGAAUUCCGCGAAUCAUCGAGUCUUUGAACGCAAGUUGCGCCCGAGGCUUGUCCCGAGGGCAUGCCUGUCUGAGCGUCACC
rnacentral:rRNA from 2 species